CGGGGGUGACGGCGUACCUUUUGUAUAAUGGGUCAUCGACUUGGUCUAUCUAGCAAGCUUAAGCCGUUAGGUGUAGGCGCAGCGAAAGCGAGUCUUAAUAGGGCGCAUGAGUUAGAUGGAUCAGACCCGAAACCGAGUGAUCUAGGCAUGGCCAGGUUGAAGGUUGGGUAACACCAACUGGAGGACCGAACCCACAUCCGUUGAAAAGGAUCGGGAUGAGCUGUGCCUAGGGGUGAAAGGCCAAUCAAACUCGGAGAUAGCUGGUUCUCCGCGAAAUCUAUUUAGGUAGAGCGUCAUCCGAAUACCCCGGGGGGUAGAGCACUGGAUGGGUAAUGGGGCCCCACAGGCUUACUGAUCCUAACCAAACUCCGAAUACCCGGGAGUACUAGAUGGCAGACACACGGCGGAUGCUAACGUCCGUCGUGAAGAGGGAAACAACCCUGACCUCCAGCUAAGGCCCCCAAUUCGUGGCUAAGUGGGAAAGCAGGUGGGACGACCAAAACAACCAGGAGGUUGGCUUAGAAGCAGCCAUCCUUUAAAGAUAGCGUAACAGCUCACUGGUCUAAUCAAGUUGUCCUGCGGCGAAGAUGUAACGGGGCUCAAGCCACGAGCCGAAGCUGAGGAUGCGCAUAGCGCAUGGUAGCGGAGCGUAGUGUGACAUAGCUCACUGUCUCCUUAGCGGGUGCCGUUCUCCGGAACGGUCCGCCUUGGAGACAAGGAGCUUUCUGUGAAGCCGGCCUGUGAGGGAUCCGGUGGAGAGAUCACUAGCGAGAAUGAUGACAUGAGUAGCGACAAAGAGUGUGAGAGACACUCUCGCCGAAAGUCCAAGGGUUCCUGCUUAAAGCUAAUCUGAGCAGGGUGAGCCGGCCCCUAAGGCGAGGCCGAAAGGCGUAGUCGAUGGGAACCAGGUUAAUAUUCCUGGGCCGUGUGGUGGUGACGGAUCGUGGCGACGCAUGUUCCUUAUCGGAUUGGAGCAUGUUCAAGACGGUUCCUGGAAAUAGCCCCACUGUAAGACCGUACCCUAAACCGACACAGGUGGACUGGUAGAGCAUACCAAGGCGCUUGAGAGAACGAUGUUGAAGGAACUCGGCAAAAUACCUCCGUAAGUUCGCGAGAAGGAGGCCCGGCGUAUGAUCGCCGGGGGCACAAACCAGGGGGUGGCGACUGUUUACUAAAAACACAGGGCUCUGCGAAGUCGCAAGACGACGUAUAGGGUCUGACGCCUGCCCGGUGCCUGAAGGUUAAAAGGAGGGGUGCAAGCUCCGAAUUGAAGCCCAGGUAAACGGCGGCCGUAACUAUAACGGUCCUAAGGUAGCGAAAUUCCUUGUCGGGUAAGUUCCGACCUGCACGAAUGGCGUAACGACUUCCCCGCUGUCUCCAACAUCGACUCAGCGAAAUUGAAUUGCCGGUCAAGAUGCCGGCUACCCGCGGUUAGACGGAAAGACCCCGUGCACCUUCACUACAGCUUCGCACUGGCAUCAGGCACAACAUGUGCAGGAUAGGUGGUAGGCUUCGAAGCAGGGACGCCAGUUCCUGUGGAGCCUCCCUUGAGAUACCACCCUUGUUCUGCUUGAUGUCUAACCGCGGUCCGUCAUCCGGAUCCGGGACCCUGCGUGGCGGGUAGUUUGACUGGGGCGGUCGCCUCCUAAAGCGUAACGGAGGCGCGCGAAGGUUGGCUCAGAGCGGUCGGAAAUCGCUCGUUGAGUGCAAUGGCAGAAGCCAGCCUGACUGCAAGACUGACAAGUCGAGCAGAGACGAAAGUCGGCCAUAGUGAUCCGGUGGUCCCAAGUGGGAGGGCCAUCGCUCAACGGAUAAAAGGUACGCCGGGGAUAACAGGCUGAUACUGCCCAAGAGUCCAUAUCGACGGCAGUGUUUGGCACCUCGAUGUCGGCUCAUCUCAUCCUGGGGCUGGAGCAGGUCCCAAGGGUAUGGCUGUUCGCCAUUUAAAGAGGUACGUGAGCUGGGUUUAGAACGUCGUGAGACAGUUCGGUCCCUAUCUGCCGUGGGUGUAGGAUACUUGAGAGGAGUUGCCCCUAGUACGAGAGGACCGGGGUGAACGAUCCACUGGUGGACCAGUUGUCAUGCCAAUGGCAGUGCUGGGUAGCUAUGAUCGGACAGGAUAACCGCUGAAGGCAUCUAAGCGGGAAGCCCCCCUCAAAACAAGGUAUCCCUGAGGGCCGUGGUAGACCACCACGUCGAUAGGCCGGAGGUGCAAGCGCGGCAACGCGUUCAGCUGACCGGUACUAAUGGCCCGACAGGCUUGAUCUG
rnacentral:rRNA from 1 species